rnacentral:rRNA from 1 species
AUUGAACGCUGGCGGCAUGCCUUACACAUGCAAGUCGAACGGCAGCGCGGGGCAACCUGGCGGCGAGUGGCGAACGGGUGAGUAAUAUAUCGGAACGUACCCUGGAGUGGGGGAUAACGUAGCGAAAGUUACGCUAAUACCGCAUACGAUCUAAGGAUGAAAGUGGGGGAUCGCAAGACCUCAUGCUCCUGGAGCGGCCGAUAUCUGAUUAGCUAGUUGGUGGGGUAAAGGCCUACCAAGGCAUCGAUCAGUAGCUGGUCUGAGAGGACGACCAGCCACACUGGAACUGAGACACGGUCCAGACUCCUACGGGAGGCAGCAGUGGGGAAUUUUGGACAAUGGGGGCAACCCUGAUCCAGCAAUGCCGCGUGAGUGAAGAAGGCCUUCGGGUUGUAAAGCUCUUUUGUCAGGGAAGAAACGGUCUGCUCUAAUACAGUGGGCUAAUGACGGUACCUGAAGAAUAAGCACCGGCUAACUACGUGCCAGCAGCCGCGGUAAUACGUAGGGUGCAAGCGUUAAUCGGAAUUACUGGGCGUAAAGCGUGCGCAGGCGGUUUUGUAAGACUGUCGUGAAAUCCCCGGGCUCAACCUGGGAAUGGCGAUGGUGACUGCAAGGCUAGAGUUUGGCAGAGGGGGGUAGAAUUCCACGUGUAGCAGUGAAAUGCGUAAGAUAUGUGGAGGAACACCGAUGGCGAAGGCAGCCCCCUGGGUCAAAACUGACGCUCAUGCACGAAAGCGUGGGGAGCAAACAGGAUUAGAUACCCUGGUAGUCCACGCCCUAAACGAUGUCUACUAGUUGUCGGGUCUUAAUUGACUUGGUAACGCAGCUAACGCGUGAAGUAGACCGCCUGGGGAGUACGGUCGCAAGAUUAAAACUCAAAGGAAUUGACGGGGACCCGCACAAGCGGUGGAUGAUGUGGAUUAAUUCGAUGCAACGCGAAAAACCUUACCUACCCUUGACAUGGAUGGAAUCCCUGAGAGAUUGGGGAGUGCCCGAAAGGGAACCAUUACACAGGUGCUGCAUGGCUGUCGUCAGCUCGUGUCGUGAGAUGUUGGGUUAAGUCCCGCAACGAGCGCAACCCUUGUCAUUAGUUGCUACGAAAGGGCACUCUAAUGAGACUGCCGGUGACAAACCGGAGGAAGGUGGGGAUGACGUCAAGUCCUCAUGGCCCUUAUGGGUAGGGCUUCACACGUCAUACAAUGGUACAUACAGAGGGCCGCCAACCCGCGAGGGGGAGCUAAUCCCAGAAAGUGUAUCGUAGUCCGGAUUGUAGUCUGCAACUCGACUGCAUGAAGUUGGAAUCGCUAGUAAUCGCGGAUCAGCAUGUCGCGGUGAAUACGUUCCCGGGUCUUGUACACACCGCCCGUCACACCAUGGGAGCGGGUUUUACCAGAAGUAGGUAGCUUAACCGCAAGGAGGGCGCUUACCACGGUAGGAUUCGUGACUGGGGUG